GAUGGCGGCGUGCUAUACAUGCAAGUCGAGCGAACAGACGAGGAGCUUGCUCCUCUGACGUUAGCGGCGGACGGGUGAGUAACACGUGGAUAACCUACCUAUAAGACUGGGAUAACUUCGGGAAACCGGAGCUAAUACCGGAUAAUAUAUUGAACCGCAUGGUUCAAUAGUGAAAGACGGUUUUGCUGUCACUUAUAGAUGGAUCCGCGCCGCAUUAGCUAGUUGGUAAGGUAACGGCUUACCAAGGCAACGAUGCGUAGCCGACCUGAGAGGGUGAUCGGCCACACUGGAACUGAGACACGGUCCAGACUCCUACGGGAGGCAGCAGUAGGGAAUCUUCCGCAAUGGGCGAAAGCCUGACGGAGCAACGCCGCGUGAGUGAUGAAGGUCUUCGGAUCGUAAAACUCUGUUAUUAGGGAAGAACAAAUGUGUAAGUAACUAUGCACGUCUUGACGGUACCUAAUCAGAAAGCCACGGCUAACUACGUGCCAGCAGCCGCGGUAAUACGUAGGUGGCAAGCGUUAUCCGGAAUUAUUGGGCGUAAAGCGCGCGUAGGCGGUUUUUUAAGUCUGAUGUGAAAGCCCACGGCUCAACCGUGGAGGGUCAUUGGAAACUGGAAAACUUGAGUGCAGAAGAGGAAAGUGGAAUUCCAUGUGUAGCGGUGAAAUGCGCAGAGAUAUGGAGGAACACCAGUGGCGAAGGCGACUUUCUGGUCUGUAACUGACGCUGAUGUGCGAAAGCGUGGGGAUCAAACAGGAUUAGAUACCCUGGUAGUCCACGCCGUAAACGAUGAGUGCUAAGUGUUAGGGGGUUUCCGCCCCUUAGUGCUGCAGCUAACGCAUUAAGCACUCCGCCUGGGGAGUACGACCGCAAGGUUGAAACUCAAAGGAAUUGACGGGGACCCGCACAAGCGGUGGAGCAUGUGGUUUAAUUCGAAGCAACGCGAAGAACCUUACCAAAUCUUGACAUCCUCUGACCCCUCUAGAGAUAGAGUUUUCCCCUUCGGGGGACAGAGUGACAGGUGGUGCAUGGUUGUCGUCAGCUCGUGUCGUGAGAUGUUGGGUUAAGUCCCGCAACGAGCGCAACCCUUAAGCUUAGUUGCCAUCAUUAAGUUGGGCACUCUAAGUUGACUGCCGGUGACAAACCGGAGGAAGGUGGGGAUGACGUCAAAUCAUCAUGCCCCUUAUGAU
rnacentral:rRNA from 1 species